AUUGAACGCUGGCGGCAUGCCUUACACAUGCAAGUCGAACGGCAGCACGGGAGCUUGCUCCUGGUGGCGAGUGGCGAACGGGUGAGUAAUGCAUCGGAACGUGCCCUGAAGUGGGGGAUAACGUAGCGAAAGUUACGCUAAUACCGCAUAUUCUGUGAGCAGGAAAGCAGGGGAUCUUCGGACCUUGCGCUUUUGGAGCGGCCGAUGUCGGAUUAGCUAGUUGGUGGGUAAAGGCCCACCAAGGCGACGAUCCGUAGCGGGUCUGAGAGGAUGAUCCGCCACACUGGAACUGAGACACGGUCCAGACUCCUACGGGAGGCAGCAGUGGGGAAUUUUGGACAAUGGGCGCAAGCCUGAUCCAGCCAUGCCGCGUGAGUGAAGAA
rnacentral:rRNA from 1 species